rnacentral:lncRNA from 1 species
AUGGAGUUGUGGGUUGAGUCUUCAAAAUAUCAACUUCCAGAGCUGGAGUGCACCUUAGAUGCUAUUUAAUCCAGUCAAUGACUGAAGAGAAAUUCUAGCAGCAACAUCUUGGACAUUAUCUCCUGAAAUAAUCCAUUCUACUUUUACAUAGCUCUAAUGGUUAGGAAGAUUUCCUUUGGAUGAACCUAAAUUUGCCUCUAUAAUUUAUUCCCAUUUGUGGAAAGGAAAACCGAAUCAAGCUCUGGACUUUCUGCCACUGAGGUGCAACAAACAGCAGUUGGAAGCUCUUCUCUCAGACUCAUCUACCUUUGCCCAGGUGAACAUUUAGAACUUUGCAGCCUGGAUUGCUGGAUCCCUACUAGAAAGGGCAACUUGGUGGCACAGUGUAUAGAAUGCUGGACUUGA